rnacentral:rRNA from 1 species
GCCGGAGUUAGCUGAGAGGUGGUGCAUGGCCGUCGUCAGUUCGUACUGUGAAGCAUCCUGUUAAGUCAGGCAACGAGCGAGACCCACGCCCACAGUUGCCAGCGUACUCUCUGGAGUGACGGGUACACUGUGGGGACCGCCGCUGCUAAAGCGGAGGAAGGAAUGGGCAACGGUAGGUCAGUAUGCCCCCGAAUAUCCCGGGCUACACGCGAGCUACAAUGGUUGGUACAAUGGGUAUCUACCCCGAAAGGGGACGGGAAUCUCCUAAAACCAAUCUUAGUUCGGAUUGAGGGCUGCAACUCGCCCUCAUGAAGCUGGAAUCCGUAGUAAUCGCGUUUCAACAGAACGCGGUGAAUACGUCCCUGCUCCUU